rnacentral:rRNA from 1 species
AACGCGAAGAACCUUACCUGGGUUUGACAUCUCUGGACAACCGUAGAGAUACGGCUUUCGUAGCAAUACGACCAGAAGACAGGUGCUGCAUGGCUGUCGUCAGCUCGUGUGGUGACAUGUUGGGUUAAGUCCCGCAACGAGCGCAACCCCUGUCCUUAGUUGCCAGCAUUAAGUUGGGCUCUCUAAGGAGACUGCCGUGGUUAACACGGAGGAAGGUGGGGAUGACGUCAAGUCCUCAUGGCCUUUAUAUCCAGGGCGACACACGUGAUACAAUGGGUAGUACAGAGGGAAGCGAAACCGCGAGGUGGAGCCAAUCUCAAAAAGCUACUCUCAGUUCGGAUUGGAGUCUGCAACUCGACUCCAUGAAGUUGGAAUCGCUAGUAAUCGCGGAUCAGCACGCCGCGGUGAAUACGUUCCCGGGCCUUGUACACACCGCAUAC